CCUACGGGUGGCAGCAGUGAGGAAUAUUGGUCAAUGGGCGCGAGCCUGAACCAGCCAAGUCGCGUGAGGGAAGACGGUCCUGGGGAUUGUAAACCUCUUUUGUCGGGGAGCAAAAGACGCCACGCGUCGCGUUCCGAGAGUACCCGAAGAAAAAGCAUCGGCUAACUCCGGGCCAGCAGCCGCGGUAAUACGGAGGAUGCGAGCGUGAUCCGGAUUGAUUGGGUUUAAGGGGUGGGCAGGCGGAAGAGAAAGUCAGCGGUAAAAUUGUGGGGCUCAACCUCUUCGAGCCGUUGAAACUGGUUGUCUUGAGUGAGUGAGAAGUAAGCGGAAGGCGUGGUGUAGCGGUGAAAUGCAUAGAUAUCACGCAGAACUCCGAUUGCGAAGGCAGCAGACCGGCGCUCAACUGACGCUCAUGCACGAAAGUGUGGGUAUCGAACAGGAUUAGAUACCCGAGUAGUC
rnacentral:rRNA from 1 species